rnacentral:tRNA from 1 species
GCGAAAUUAGUUUCAGCGGUAGAACAUUACCUUGCCAAGGUAAAAGCGAGGGUUCGAAUCCCUCAUUUCGCU